CGGAGGAUGCAAGCGUUAUCCGGAUUCAUUGGGUUUAAAGGGUGCGUAGGCGGGAGAGUAAGUCAGUGGUGAAAUCCCCUCGCUUAACGAGGGAACUGCCAUUGAUACUGCUUUUCUUGAGUUCAGUUGAUGUGGGCGGAAUGUGCUAUGUAGCGGUGAAAUGCUUAGAUAUGGCACAGAACACCUAUUGCGAAGGCAGCUCACAAAACUGAAACUGACGCUGAGGCACGAAAGCGUGGGGAUCAAACAGGGAUUAGAUACCCUGGUAGUCCACGCCGUAAACUAUGAUCACUCGCUGUUGGCGAUACACAGCCAGCGGCUUAGCAAAAGUGUUAAGUGAUCCACCUGGGGGAGUACGGUCGCAAGAUUG
rnacentral:rRNA from 1 species